AUGUUAUCUCCUGAGAUUGGACAGCUUACUAUGCAUUUUCUUGUACUGCACAGGAACUUGUUCUAUGGUAUUAUCCCUAGAGAGAUGGGAGAUUUACGAGAGCUGAAGGUGUUGGAUCUGGGGUACAAUAACUUCAAUGGAUCAAUUCCAUCAGAGCUAAUAAACAUUUUAUCCCUGGAAUUUAUCUUUCUUAAAAGAAACAGACUUUAUGGUGAUUUACCUCUUGAACUAAAUGAGCUCAUCAGUCUGUGUGAGUCUCGGGUUCGCCACGGCAGGACUUUCUCAAAUAGGAUGCCCGCUGCAAGGUUUGUCUAA
rnacentral:rRNA from 1 species